AGACCUUCUAGAAAGGACGUCUUAUAGAGUUGUCUCUCUGCCACAACCCCCAUCUUUACCCCGAUCCCACUGUUAGCUGGCCCCUUGUGUUCAUAUCACAUCUCCGCUCUGGCGUCUCUUGGCAACGCAGCGCUUUCCAUUGUCCUGCUCCCAGAUCGCGGAAGCACUCGGGGUGUCUCCUGUUCCCUUGUGCCUUGAGUUGCUCUCUACUUUUUUUUUUCAAAGCCAUCUUAGUGGCACCUCUCUAUCUUCAUUGCCGUAGAAGGAUCACAGCGAUCGCCUCUACCCGUCUUGCGUGGGGCCUCUCCCCCUUUUUUUUUCCCUCCCGCCCCUUUGGAACACUGCGCAGCUUCGGUUUUCGGAGCAGCCACCACCGCGCGUGUUGGUGUGGAGCCACCGCUGCGCGGCUGCUGUUGUUGCUGGAGUUUCCCCCCUCUCUGGCGCCCUUCUGCCCCUGUAACAGAAGCGAGGGCUUUGAGCAUCAUGAACGGCAACGACGAGGAUAUCUACGCGGCGUUCCAGACGCCGGAUAUUGGGUCGAACCCAUGGACGACGAGCACGAACCCCUUCGAGGCCCCUGCGCAAGAGGCUAUGGGCGGCAACCCCCUCAUGCAGGCCCCUCCUUCGCAAUGGGGGCGCGCGGGCAUGGGCUCUGCCUGGGGUGUGCCGGGCAGCCGCAUGAAUACAAGGGGCUGUGGUAUCCCCGGCGCCGCGCGUCCCAUGACGUCUAACCGCGCUGUCGGCUUCAACAGCGCAAGCAACGGCGCCGCUGCCGUCCUCUUUGACCCCACCGGCCAGGCGCGCAUGGCGAACAUGGCGAUGGGCCCGGCCCCGCCGCUGAAGAAGCGGAGCGAGAACAGUCAGGAGGAGGAGCUGGCUGAGAUGGAGAAGCAGGUGAACAAGCUGAUUGAGGAGAGCGCCAUGCUGGCUCUGCAGAAGGACUACGGCGCGGCACUCGAGAAGGCCAAGGACGCCGGAAAGCUGGAGCGGUUACUCUGUAAAAAGCGCGAGCAGUACGGGCUCGCCGAGCAGAUCAACGUCGACCUUACCUACGCAGUGCACUUCAACUUGGCGGUUCAGUACCAAAACCACCAGCUGUACACUGAGGCCCUCAACACGUACAACCUCAUCAUUCGCAACGUGCAGUUUCCACAAGCCGGCCGCCUGCGGGUGAACAUGGGCAACAUUUAUCUUGCGCAGCAGAACUACCUCCUAGCCAUCAAGAUGUACCGCAAGGUGCUCGACGAGACACCGACCGCCGGAAAGGAGCUCCGCUAUCACCUCUGCCGCAAUAUCGCCAACGCGUUUGUGAAGCUGGGCCAGUACAGGGACGCCGCGAACAGCUACGAGACCGUGGUGGAGGGCAACGGCGAUGCCAACGCCACGUUUAACCUCAUUUUGUGCUACUACGCGCUGGGCGAGACGGAGAAGAUGAAACGGACCUUCACGCGCCUCAUGAAUUGCCGCCUCGCGGGCCUCGACGGCGAGGAGGACUUUGAGGAGGAGGAGAAGCGGAAAGACGUCUUGGUAGACGACAGCCUGAGCCGCAUGCGCAAGGAGCGCCGCGCCAGAUACCUCAAGUACAUCAUCACGGCAGCCCGCUUGAUUGCUCCAGUGCUGCACAAGGACUGGUGCGUCGGCUACGACUACAUCAUCUCUCAGCUGCGCACUUACGAGAUGCGCGACCCGACCUCGCACGUGGCGAGCGAGCUGGAGAUGUGCAAAAACCUGAACUACCUCAAGCACAAGCGCUAUCAGGAGGCGAUCAACGGCCUGAAGGAGUUUGAGAAGAAGGACAGGAGCCUGCGAGCACGGGCAGCCACGAACCUGGCGUACCUCUACUUCCUUGAGGGCGACUACGAGAACGGGGAGCAGUACAGCGACCUCAGUCUCGUCGCGAAUCAGUACAACGCCAAGGCACUGGUAAACAAAGGCAACUUCUCCUUUGUCAAGAAGGACUACGACAAGGCGAAGGAGCUGUACAAUAAAGCGCUGGCGGUGGAGGCCGACAACGUGGAGGCCAUCUAUAACCUUGGCUUGGCCGCCAAGAAGCUAGGGCUGUACGAGGAGGCGGUGCGCAUGUUCAAGCGCGUGCAGGCGCUCGUGGACAGUAGCGAGGUGCUGUAUCAGAUUGCCGACCUCAGCGACCUUGUCGGCGACCCGGCAGCGCUGGAGUGGUUUAACCGCCUCAUUGGCCGCGUUCCGACGGACCCGAACGCGCUGGCCCGCAUCGGCUCCCUCUACGCCCGCGACGGCGACGAUGUGCAGGCGUUUCACUACUAUCUGGAGGCCUACCGUUACUACCAGGUAAACAUGGACGUCAUCUCCUGGCUCGGCGCGUACUUCGUGAAGAACGAAGUCUACGAUAAGGCGGUGCAGUUCUUCGAGCGCGCUUCGCACAUCCAACCGCAGGAGGUGAAGUGGCAGCUGAUGGUGGCCUCGUGCCACCGCCGCCGCGGCGACUACGUGCAGGCGAAGCGGCUCUACGAGCAGGUGCACCGCAAGUAUCCCGAUAACAUCGAGUGUCUCAAUUACUUGGUGCAGCUCUGCAAGGACGCUGGCCUCAACGAGGAGGCCAACGAGUGGUUCAAGGCAACGAAAAAGGUGGAGCGGCAGCAGAUCCACAGCAGCAGCAGCAGCGUCGGCGGCGAGAGCGGCGACGACGACGUAGAAUCCUCCGUUGAGGGCGGGAACAACAUCAACGGCCACCAUCGCAGACGCACAAGCGGCACGGCCGCACCCGACGCGGCAGUGGCAGGCCGCCGCGCAGGUGGUGGUGCUGCGGCCGACAAAGACUUUUCCGUCGGCCUCUCCGACGACGACAUCGUUGACGGCAAAGCAAAUCAGAAUGGCGCCAAGAGGCCGAAGAAGGCGAAGAACAGCGACUCAGACGAUGAAAUCGACUUGCCCGGCAUUUAGCUAUAGAUCGGAGCGGGGCAGGCAAGCUCCGCGCCAUGAGGUGCCUCUAUUCUGCUUCUCCGCCUCACUGCCUGAUUGUUAUUGGCGUUCGGCGCCCAUGCUCCGUUCGUCUGCCGAGCUCGCUUCCCCCCUUCCCCGCUUCUACCUGUCCUCUCGUGUAUGCAACUGCCUCUGUCUUGCUCCUCGCCUUUCCCACUGUAGGAGUUGUGCUCGACGCAGCUGACUACUACUCCUUACCCCGCGCACUGACCAACAGAAGGUGGAGGGGCGAGAGGGAGAGACAGGGGCAUGACGUUGCCGCCUGAUGUAAAACUGAACCGACAGUUUCGUUUAUUUAUUCCUUUGGCUUCAUGUGGGCUCGCCCUCAGCAGGUGGGUGCCUCAAGGAAGCGCCAGCCUCUCCCGCUCUGGUACGCUGUGUGGUUCGUUUUUUUUUCUGUGCUUUUUUUUUGUUUGUGCUUUGGUUUUCCAUGUGGCUCCUCCUGUGCGUCGCUCAGAAACGUGUUGUCUCCAUGGAGAGUAUGUGACUGCGGAUCUUUCUUUUUUUUUUUGUUCGGGUUCCCUUGUGUGCGUGCGUAUGUGUGUGUGUGCCCUCCGUGUCUGUCUGUGUGUGUCUUCCUUCGUUCGCUUUUCACCUUCCCCCUCCCCUCACUGGUGAUGUAGUCUAUAUGAGAAAAGAAAGCAGCCUCCACCAACGCACACGCGCACCUAGACAGCUUAAUUUAGCGGCAUGGGGGAGGGAAAGGGGAGGGGAGAGGGGAGAGGAUGGGAGGGUAUCAUGGCAGACGCUUUAGCUCUCUUGCGUCACCCUCUUGUGCCCUUCCUCUGUUGCUCUUUGGGCGCCUUUUUUCCUGAUCUCCGUCCACUCCCUCCACCUUUUUCUCCUCAAGAGAUAUGUGAAUGUGUUCCUGUCAACGAGCGCAUGGUUAGAAGCUCCCCUGUUCUCCCCCUUUUUUCGUCGCUUUUUUUUGUUUUCUGUUCGAAACACGAAUGACAACAACAAUCACCACAUACAAACUCGCAACUGCACACAGGCAAGAAGGUGCGAUGCAUGCUGCUGCCUGAGUCUGUUCAACUCACCGUCUACCAUGCUUCUUGUGGGGUCGACAACGCUGACGAAGAAGGUGGGAGGAGGAGUAUCGGCGACGCGGUGACUGUCUUCUGCUCUCUCUCCCUCUUGUUCAAUCUGUCGUCGUCACCGAGAGCACCCAUCGGAGGUACGCGCGCAGUUUCGGUGCGUAUGCAGCUACAUCACCCCUCUUCCACCGCUUAACGCUUCACGGCGCCAUUCGAGUUUGUGUGCCUCUGCGCGCGUGCGUCAUCUCACCCGGCACAAACGGACGCCCACAAGCACGCACGCGGCUACACCUUCUGCUCUCACCCCCUCCCCUUCCUCCCCCUUUCCCCCCGUGCCGGGACCUGAGAAG
rnacentral:misc_RNA from 1 species